rnacentral:rRNA from 1 species
GAUGAACGCUGGCGGCGUGCCUAAUACAUGCAAGUCGAGCGAACAGACGAGGAGCUUGCUCCUCUGACGUUAGCGGCGGACGGGUGAGUAACACGUGGAUAACCUACCUAUAAGACUGGGAUAACUUCGGGAAACCGGAGCUAAUACCGGAUAAUAUAUUGAACCGCAUGGUUCAAUAGUGAAAGACGGUUUUGCUGUCACUUAUAGAUGGAUCCGCGCCGCAUUAGCUAGUUGGUAAGGUAACGGCUUACCAAGGCAACGAUGCGUAGCCGACCUGAGAGGGUGAUCGGCCACACUGGAACUGAGACACGGUCCAGACUCCUACGGGAGGCAGCAGUAGGGAAUCUUCCGCAAUGGGCGAAAGCCUGACGGAGCAACGCCGCGUGAGUGAUGAAGGUCUUCGGAUCGUAAAACUCUGUUAUUAGGGAAGAAAAAAUGUGUAAGUAACUAUGCACGUCUUGACGGUACCUAAUCAGAAAGCCACGGCUAACGACGUG